ACCCGUCUAGCUCAGUCGGUAGAGCGCUGGCCUUUUAAGCCAGUGGUCGUGGGCUCGAUCCCCACGGGGGGUG
rfam:Phytophthora infestans T30-4 supercont1.24 genomic scaffold, whole genome shotgun sequence.